rnacentral:rRNA from 2 species
CUGAAAUCAGGUGGGAUUACCCGCUGA